UGUGAGGGAGCAGGAGGGAGCAGGCGGUGUGCUGCUCCAGCCUUUUGGAGGCGGCAGGGGAGAAGCCUCAGUCAGCUUUGCUUCAACUUACCACCCAGAGGAGCCACUCUAUAAUGAGCUUGAGACCCAGACUCCAGCUGUCUUUGCUUGAAGAUCCUAAAGCCCUCUUGGUACUAAGGCCCUUCUCUGAAGCCAGAGCCCUGCUGUAGCUUGCACACUUUAGAAGACUUCCUCGCUGCCACUGGAUCCUCAGAGAAAUGCCAGCGAUUGGCCAAACCCAGUGGCCCUCCUGCUACAGACCUGGGCUUCCUCAAAGGAAGGACCACUGGGUAGGAUGUCAAAUGUGCAGGUCACGUGAAAUCCGGAUGUGCAGAUAAAACCACAGAUGUUUUACUCGCCCUUGUUGAUAAGUUAGCUCUCUGUCACUAGAACAAAAUAAUAGAGAAGGCAACUUUGUUU